rnacentral:rRNA from 1 species
AUACGGAGGACGCGAGCGUUAUCCGGAUUCAUUGGGUUUAAAGGGUGCGCAGGCGGCCGUGCAAGUCAGCGGUGAAAGCCCGGGGCUCAACCCCGGAAGUGCCGUUGAUACUGCAUGGCUGGAAUGCGGUCGAGGCGGGCGGAACGUGGCGGGUAGCGGGGAAAUGCGUAGAUAUGCCACAGAAAGCCGAUAGCGGAGGCGGCUCGCCAGGCCUGCAUUGACGCUCGGGCACGAAAGCGUGGGGAUCGAACAGGAUUAGAUACCCUGGUAGUCCACGCCGUAAACGAUGGGCGCUCGUCGUCGGCGGCAGACAGUCGGCGGCCAAGCGAAAGCGAUAAGCGCCCCACCUGGGGAGUACGGUCGCAAGGCUGAAACUCAAAUGAAUUGACGGGG